UGAAGUAAGUGGACCACUGACAGUAUACCGUCUACUCAAGUGUCAUCUCCAGGCGUGAGUGAGCACAGCAGCAGCAGCACAGCAGGAGGAGCAGCAGGAGCAGGAGGAGGAGGAGCACAGCUCACUCACACAGAUGAAUAAAGUGUUGGCCAGGUUGUGAAGCUGACACGUCCCGAGCUGGCAGCCACGCUGAGGUGUGCGUCGAGGGCGUAACUUCAGCCCCAACCUGUCGGAGAUAAAGAGGAGGAGUCAAAGAGGUUCUGAAUGAAACGGGAUGAUCCUCAGUGCUGGAGCAUGUUCCUCCUGUGUGACCUCUGACCUUUUCACCCCUGAGGCCUGGACCAUGUCAUCCAAGAGCACAGUGGUGCUGUGUGAGUCUGACCUAUGGGUUCCAUACAAUAAGGAAGUGAUGCUUAUGACCUUUUUUCCCCCACAUGAAUCACACACUAAUAUGAGACACAGACAUUGUGGUGACUGUCAGCAGCUAUUGUCCUCCACUCACCUGUGUGUUGGUCUCAGUGGUGAGGCAACGGUCAAGGGCACAGUCAGCAGCAGCAGGACAGUUAUCUCCAUACCGCAGUGGCCUGGAGCAGAGAGAAAGGGAAUGAUUCUGACCCAAUAAAAAAACUUCACUCAA